GGUGGAUGCUGCGGCAUCGGAGGACCUUGCUGGUGGAGGAAAUGGUUCACGCCCGUCCCCGUUCCCUUUGCAGGCUUGCUAUUGUGCGUCUGUGAUUGACAAGACCACGAGGCUGAGCGCGCCCUGGAGAUUUUUCUAUAAAUGGCUUAACACCCCAGUCUAGACUAUUUGCUCGGAUAUAAGGGAGACAAUUGUUUUUUUGUUCUUUGCCGGCGAACCCUGGCUCUGUAGGGCUGACCUGGAAUUUAACCAGUCUUCCCUGAGCCGGCGGAGGAGGACAAAAACCGCCGCGACCCCGGCAGGGUGGGAAGUGCAGGGCAGCGCUCCCAAGACACGCUUGUUGGAGGUUCGGGCCUGGGUGCUUGGUUGUCUGAGCCUCCUUUUUUGUGUUUGCCUGGGUCCUGGAGAGGAGCGCACGGUAUCAUGGUGAGUGUCAUGUAGGUUACCCCGGGUCCCGCUUACCCACCUGCAUUUACUUAAUGGUGGUUUAAUUCUUCUUUAAGGAUUGCAGUAACGGAUGCUCCGCAGAGUGUACCGGAGAAGGAGGAUCAAAAGAGGUGGUGGGGACUUUUAAGGCUAAAGACCUAAUAGUCACACCAGCUACCAUUUUAAAGGAAAAACCAGACCCCAAUAAUCUGGUUUUUGGAACUGUGUUCACGGAUCAUAUGCUGACGGUGGAGUGGUCCUUAGAGUUUGGAUGGGAGAAACCUCAUAUCAAGCCUCUUCAGAACCUGUCAUUGCACCCUGGCUCAUCAGCUUUGCACUAUGCAGUGGAAUUAUUUGAAGGAUUGAAGGCAUUUCGAGGAGUAGAUAAUAAAAUUCGACUGUUUCAGCCAAACCUCAACAUGGAUAGAAUGUAUCGCUCUGCUGUGAGGGCAACUCUGCCGGUAUUUGACAAAGAAGAGCUCUUAGAGUGUAUUCAACAGCUUGUGAAAUUGGAUCAAGAAUGGGUCCCAUAUUCAACAUCUGCUAGUCUGUAUAUUCGUCCUACAUUCAUUGGAACUGAGCCUUCUCUUGGAGUCAAGAAACCUACCAAAGCCCUGCUCUUUGUACUCUUGAGCCCAGUGGGACCUUAUUUUUCAAGUGGAACCUUUAACCCAGUGUCCCUGUGGGCCAAUCCCAAGUAUGUAAGAGCCUGGAAAGGUGGAACUGGGGACUGCAAGAUGGGAGGGAAUUACGGCUCAUCUCUUUUUGCCCAAUGUGAAGCAGUAGAUAAUGGGUGUCAGCAGGUCCUGUGGCUCUAUGGAGAGGACCAUCAGAUCACUGAAGUGGGAACUAUGAAUCUUUUUCUUUACUGGAUAAAUGAAGAUGGAGAAGAAGAACUGGCAACUCCUCCACUAGAUGGCAUCAUUCUUCCAGGAGUGACAAGGCGGUGCAUUCUGGACCUGGCACAUCAGUGGGACACAGAACUCAGCUUGUUUUCAAUUAAUUUGCCUGAUUUUCUGCAGUUCAUUUACCUUUGAACAACAUAAUUGCAAUUGUAGACUGAGAGAAAUUGAAACUUUCAAAGAGCCAUAUUUCUAUUGCAGAUAUAUUUUCCUGCUCUUCCAAAUCUACUUACAGCAUGAGUUCUUCUUUUAAAUAUUCAAAUAUUUUGAAUAUGUUCAAAAUAUUUUGAAAAUUGCCAAGAGUUUUGAUUUCCAUUUUUAUCUCUUGUGGGUUUAUAAAUUAAGAAAAAAUACUCAUCUUAUUUUUUUAAACCUCUCUAUUUUUGUUGCUGUUUAUUCAAAUAACUUGUUGACAAACUUUGAACUUGAACCACUGAGGUAAAAGAACGAGAAUUAAACAGAUAGUUUAAACACAUAGCUUAAAAGGAUCUUUUUCCCAUUUCCUAUCCUUGAGCAAAGAAUAUAUUCAAGCACUUUGGCAGACGUCAAUGAGGUUAUACCACUAAUUCCAUGAUGAAAAUCCACUGAAUGUGUACUGAAAGAGAAGGAAGAGAAUUGUCACUGUAAAGUCAACUGUUAGUCAUAUUAAGAAAAAAAAUACAUACAAUACAAUUUCUCAAAUAAAGUCCAAAUAUACAUUCAAUGUUUAAAAAUAAUGAGUAUUUCAGAUAUUUGAACUCAGUCUGUUCUUUAUUCCAUAAAAGAUAUAGGUAAGCCAUGCACAGUGGCUCACAACUAUAAUCCCAGCACUUUGGCACUUUGGGAGGCUGAGGUGGGAGGAUCACAUGAGCCCAGCCUGGGCAACAUAGGGAGACCCCUAUCUUUACAAAAUAAAAUAUAAAAUAUAAAACCUAGUUGGGCAUGGCAGCAUACACCUGUAGUCCCAGGUGCUCAGGAGACUGAGACAGGAGGAUCACUUGGGCCUGGGAGGUCGACACUGCAGUGAGCCAAGAUUAUGCCACUGCAUUCCAGCCUGGGUGACAGGGCAAGACCCUGUCUCAAAAAAAAAAAAAAAAAAAGAGAGACAAA
rnacentral:sRNA from 1 species